CAAGAGCGUAUGUCAAAGUUGUUGCAGUUAAAAAGCUCGUAGUUGAACCUUGGGUUUGGUUGGCCGGUCCGCUUUUUUGCGAGUACUGGAUUCAACCGAGCCUUUCCUUCUGGCUAACCAGUCGUUUCGGCGGCUGGCGAACCAGGAUUUUUACUUUGAGAAAAUUAGAGUGUUCAAAGCAGGCAUUAGCUUGAAUAUAUUAGCAUGGAAUAAUAGAAUAGGACGUUAUGGUUCUAUUUUGUUGGUUUCUAGGACCUUCGUAAUGAUUAAUAGGGACGGUCGGGGGCAUCAGUAUUCAGUUGUCAGAGGUGAAAUUCUUGGAUUUACUGAAGACUAACUACUGCGAAAGCAUUUGCCAAGGACGUUUUCAUUAA
rnacentral:rRNA from 1 species